CACUCCUCUCCUCCUGUCUUUU
rnacentral:miRNA from 15 species